rnacentral:rRNA from 1 species
UACGGAGGGGGCUAGCGUUGUUCGGAAUUACUGGGCGUAAAGCGCGUGUAGGCGGACUGGUGUGUCGGAUGUGAAAUCCCCAGGCUCAACCUGGGAACUGCAUUCGAAACUGCCAGCCUUGAGUGGUGGAGAGGGAAGUGGAAUUCCUGGUGUAGAGGUGAAAUUCGUAGAUAUCAGGAGAACACCAGUGGCGAAGGCGGCUUCCUGGACACCAACUGACGCUGA